rnacentral:rRNA from 1 species
UGUUUUUUGAAUUUAAUAAGAAAUAUGACCUGCUCAAUGAUAUUUUAAAUAGCUGCAGUAUAUUGACUGUACAAAGGUAGCAUAAUCAAUUGUUUUUUUAUUGGAAACUUGUAUGAAUGGUUGGAUGUAAUAAAAACUUUUUAUAUAUUUAAUAAUAAAAUUUUAUUAUUAGUAAAAAAUCUAAUGUAAAAUUAAAAGACAAGAAGACCCUAUAGAUUUUAAUAAUUAAAAUUAUUUAUAAAUUUAAUUUAUUUACAUAUAAAAUUUAAUUAUUUAAUUGGGGUGAUUUUUAAAAUUAAUAAACUUUAAAAUUUAUUUACAUGAAUUAAUGAUUUUAUGAUCUUAAAUUUUGGAUUAAAAGAAUAAAAUACCUUAGGGAUAACAGCGUAAUUUUUUUAAAAAGAUCAUAUUGAUAAAAAAGAUUGC